UUCCGUUGGUGAACCUGCGGAGGGAUCAUUACACAAAUAUGAAGGCGGGCUGGAACCUCUCGGGGUUACAGCCUUGAUGAAUUAUUCACCCUUGUCUUUUGCGUACUUCUUGUUUCCUUGGUGGGUUCGCCCACCACUAGGACAAACAUAAACCUUUUGUAAUUGCAAUCAGCGUCAGUAACAAAUUAAUAAUUACAACUUUCAACAACGGAUCUCUUGGUUCUGGCAUCGAUGAAGAACGCAGCGAAAUGCGAUAAGUAGUGUGAAUUGCAGAAUUCAGUGAAUCAUCGAAUCUUUGAACGCACAUUGCGCCCUUUGGUAUUCCAAAGGGCAUGCCUGUUCGAGCGUCAUUUGUACCCUCAAGCUUUGCUUGGUGUUGGGCGUCUUGUCUCUAGCUUUGCUGGAGACUCGCCUUAAAGUAAUUGGCAGCCGGCCUACUGGUUUCGGAGCGCAGCACAAGUCGCACUCUCUAUCAGCAAAGGUCUAGCAUCCAUUAAGCCUUUUUUCAACUUUGACCUCGGAUCAGGUUGGGGAACAAGUUUACUG
rnacentral:rRNA from 1 species